rnacentral:rRNA from 1 species
UACAUCCUACGGGAGGCAGCAGUGGGGAAUUUUGGACAAUGGGCGAAAGCCUGAUCCAGCCAUGCCGCGUGCAGGAUGAAGGCCUUCGGGUUGUAAACUGCUUUUGUACGGAACGAAACGGCCUUUUCUAAUAAAGAGGGCUAAUGACGGUACCGUAAGAAUAAGCACCGGCUAACUACGUGCCAGCAGCCGCGGUAAUACGUAGGGUGCAAGCGUUAAUCGGAAUUACUGGGCGUAAAGCGUGCGCAGGCGGUUAUGUAAGACAGUUGUGAAAUCCCCGGGCUCAACCUGGGAACUGCAUCUGUGACUGCAUAGCUAGAGUACGGUAGAGGGGGAUGGAAUUCCGCGUGUAGCAGUGAAAUGCGUAGAUAUGCGGAGGAACACCGAUGGCGAAGGCAAUCCCCUGGACCUGUACUGACGCUCAUGCACGAAAGCGUGGGGAGCAAACAGGAUUAGAAACCCGGGUAGUCCCA